rnacentral:rRNA from 1 species
ACGCUCGACACCUACUGAGGCAGCAGUAGGGAAUCUUCCACAAUGGGCGCAAGCCUGAUGGAGCAACACCGCGUGAGUGAAGAAGGGUUUCGGCUCGUAAAGCUCUGUUGUUGGAGAAGAACGUGCGUGAGAGUAACUGUUCACGCAGUGACGGUAUCCAACCAGAAAGUCACGGCUAACUACGUCGCCAACAGCCGCGGUAAUCUGAGCGGGCUGGCAAGGC